GUCUAUGGCCACGCCGCCCCGAACAAGCCCAAUCCUGUCUGAUCUUGGAAGCUAAGCAGGGUCGGGCCUGGUUAGUACUUGGAUGGGCGACCACCUAGGAAGACACUACCUAGGUGCUGUAGACG
rnacentral:rRNA from 1 species